CCGUGCAAAGGUAGCGUAAUCAUUUGUCUUUUAAAUAAAGACUAGUAUGAAUGGCAUCACGAGAACUAAUCUGUCUCCCUCCCCCAAUCAGUGAAACUGAUCUCCCCGUGCAGAAGCGGGGAUAACAUCAUAAGACGAGAAGACCCUGUGGAGCUUCAAAUCAAAGACCAACUGCUUCUAAUUCCCCAACAAAGAAACAUUAGUGCGGACACCUGGUUCAGGAUUUUUAGCUGGGGCAGCUGUGGAGAAAAAAAAAUCCUCCACGAAGAAUUAUGCCAAGGGCUACCGCCCUAAGCAUUAAUAGAUUAACUUAAUUGACCCUUUUUGAUCAACGAACCAAGUUACCCCAGGGAUAACAGCGCAAUCCACUUUCAGAGUCCAUAUCGACAAGUGGGCU
rnacentral:rRNA from 1 species